rnacentral:rRNA from 1 species
UACGAAGGGGGCUAGCGUUGCUCGGAAUUACUGGGCGUAAAGGGCGCGUAGGCGGACAGUUUAGUCAGAGGUGAAAGCCCCAGGGCUCAACCUUGGAAAUGCCUUUGAUACUGGCUGUCUUGAGUUCGGGAGAGGUGAGUGGAAUGCCGAGUGUAGAGGUGAAAUUCGUAGAUAUUCGGCGGAACACCAGUGGCGAAGGCGACUCACUGGCCCGAUACUGACGCUGAGGCGCGAAAGCGUGGGGAGCAAACAGGGAUUAAGAAACCCU